GCACGCACAGCCACCCCCUGUUUCUUUUUUUUCUUUUUCCUUUAUUUUCUUUUCUUUCCUUCUCUUUUUCUUUUCUCUUUUCUUUUCCUCCAUUUUUUUCCUUUCUCCUUCUUCCUUCUGCCCUAGCAACCACCCUUUUUUUUUUCUCUCUCUUCUCCUUCCGUUCGCAGCCCAGCCGCACUCCUCCCUCUCUUCCCUUUCGUUCGUCGCCCAAUUUCUUUCCCUUCCCUUCCGUUCGCCGCAGCCCAGCCGCCGGCCGUCUACCCCCUCCUUUCUCCUCUGUUUUCUGAACCGCCGCGUCUGUUCGUCGGCCGACAGUAAGACAGCAUCGUGCUUCUUUUUCCAGCCACGAAUUUGAAGUCGAUCCAUGCCCAAAUCUUUUGCACAAUCUCGUUUGCUUUAGUUUUGUGCGCCGCUGCCUCUACGUUGUUGUAAGUUUGUUUUAGUAAGGAUGAAAUUGAUGGGUUAGGAGGUUCUGCAUUGUAAAUAAUUGAAAUGUGAUGUUCGUUAUUUGGUUGAAUUGAUGUUAUUGUUGAAGGCAACAUGGGUGAUUUGGAGUUAGUGUCCUUGAGUUUCGCAGUAUACUUCGUUGAAGUUCAAUUUUUUUUUUUUUGGGAUUUGAUUGUUGGAAUUAGUUCGACCAAGGAAUUUUGCAUAAAAAUCGAGGUAAGGGAAUUUCUACAUUUAAAUGAUUAAAACCAUUUUGAAUGUUAUAUGUGCAAUUGAGCAACUUAAAGGGAAUGCCUGCUAAGAUUAAGUCGAUGUGGUUAAAGGGACUUAAUGGCUUUACAUAGUUUUAUGUGUGUUGAUGAAAUGACUAAAUUAAAAAUGUUGGUUGUUUGAAUUGAGGAUAGUUGACAGUUAUGUUAAAGAAUGGAUAGUAUACGAUAGUAUAAGGUCGAAUUAUGUGUUAGUAAGGGUUUUCUCUACUACUGAACUCAAUUACCGUUAUAUAUAUAUAUAUAUAUAUAUAUAUAUAUAUAUGUAUGCAUUGAUGUAGUGUUGAAUGUGUACUGUAAAUGACUGGAACAAUGCAUAUACAUAAAUCGACGUAAACUUGGUGUUAAAUGCAUAUGGAGAUUGUCUGGUAUUAAAUAUGCAGGGAUUAAAUAUGCAGGUGUGGUUGUAGAUAGGACGAUUUUAGUAGAUGGUGUUGUAUAAAUUUUUGGAUGUGAACUCGUGAUUUUGACUGAUUUGGGUGUGGGUUAUAAUAUAAAGUGUGGCUUGUACUGGUGAACUGAGAGGUGUCAUGACUUUGUGGUUGGAUUGUAAAUUGUUACCAACGGUCUUUGGGCUAAAGUGAGAUAAGUUGACUAUUAGAAUGUUAAGUGAGAAAACUAUAUAUGUUGAAGUAAUGGAACGGUGUUAUAAAUGACUGUUAAGAUGUUUAGAAUGGACUGAGGGAAAAUUGUUAGUUUUUAUUGGGAUGUGUACCUUGUAGGUGUCACACGAGAUCACCAAUUAUUAUGCACCAUUCGGGAGCAUUAGACUGAUAUGUGUUUCUGCAGAACACUAGACUGAAAUGUACGUCCCUCGGGGCCCCUCGGGGCGUUAGACUGAUACGUGUAUCCUACGGGAUCACAAGACUGUGACUGUGCAGGGCAAAGGUAACAAAGGUGGCAAACCGGCGAGGGGCAGGAAGGAAGCAUGAUUGCCAUGGGGAACAUGUUAUUUUGCUUCCGUUUUAUGUUUUUGACGUUUAAAACACUGUGUUGAAACUUAGCUUACGAGCUUCUUUUUUGUAAACAAUACUUUUUUUUACGAGCUUCUUUUUUGUAAACAAUACUUUUUUUUUUUA